CAGGUUUCUCGCCUCCUCGGCACAGCCCCCCAGCCCCCGCCCCGGCUUCCUGCACACACACCUUCGGGCCCAGCGCUUCCUGCACACGCCUGGGCUCGGGUCAGCCCGGCCGCCAGCCUCCAGAAGGGAGCUCAGCCGCCCCGCAGCAUGGCCUCUGCCCCGAGUCCUGUGCCUGGGCGUCACCUCAAACACGCAGACUUAGCUGGAUGACACCCCCAUCGCUGCUCCCUCUCCUCGACCCCUGGGACCCUGACGACUGGACACGCAAGUUCCCUAAAAGGAGAAAAAUGACGACAAUCCUGUGAGGUGGGAACCAUUAUUAUUCCUCUGUGACGACCAAGGGAACAGAGACUCAGAAGCAUCGGGUGGCUUGUCUGAAGGCAUGCAGCCAGUUAAGUGGCCAAGGUGGAGACCCAGGCAUUCAGGCUGCAGCGUCUCUAGAAAUAACAAAAACAACCCCAAGAAUAAUUGCCGCCAUCCGGUACGUGCCUGCACUGCGUGGAGGCCUCGCCUGGCCGCCCUGUGAGGAAGGCAGUGCAUUUAUUUCCCCGGUGUAGACGGAGAGAUGGAGGCUCAGAGGAGGUCACUCAUGGGUCCAAGGGUGCACAGCAAGUGUCUGGCUGUGAAGACAAGUACCCAGGUGCCCCAGCUUGAGGCCAACAGCUGGGGUGGCGAGGGAGCCCCCCUCGAAUCCUCCAAUCUCUAAGGAUUUUUGACUUAUCAUCUCUGUCUCCUCCUGGUUCCAAAGUUGAUAGCCUUCGAGACAAGAGCAUUUCAUGAGAAAAUUAGGAGAAAUAUUUAUAAUUAUUAUUUCAAUGAUAAAAGAUAUCAUUGAGGAGCUAUCGGCUUCUUCACACUGCUGGUGACACAGCCCGAGGGAGGGAGGGCACAUUGCUUUCCUGGAAGUGGGAGAGUAGGGUAGGCCCUUCCCGUUGGCUUCAUGGGAGGGUGGUGGUGGGGUCAUGUGGGAGUGGAAGAGCAUAAAGGGCACUGUCUGAUUCAGCUGAGUGCCUCUGUGACAAGAUGCGGGCUCCCACAUGUCUCUGUUUCUGUUCCUGGUGCCAAAGGAGGAAGCUUAGUGUGCUGGUUGUUACUCUGACAUGUAGUUAUGAGAAGAAUGUUAGAAAUGCAAAUUAAUUAAUGAAUCCAUUCAAUAGAUAUUUACCUGUGUGAAGCGCUAGGGAAGAAGAGCUAAACAGACCAUAGCUCUCGCCUUCAAGCACGCAGUGUAAUGGGAGAGACACAGCAGAAGAUUACAACAAUAAGUGUAAAUGGCACAAAUACGGUGCAGGAACCAUUGCAGGAUCUCAGGGAAGGCAGCCUGGAGGAUGUCUGGACCAAGUCUCUGAAUACAACUUGGAACUUGCCGGAAGGGGAAACGGACUUCCAGAGAGAGAGCAAAUAGCAUGGGCAGCUGUGUGAAGAUGAGGAAUUUCAGGGUGGGAGGAGCCCUGGGGAAGAAAUGAAGCUGGAGAGACAGGAGUGAAGACCGGACAUGAGGGGGUCUGCGUGCUCACCCUUCCUCUGCCCCUGGGAGACCAUGUGACCUUGAGGAGGCCGCUUCAACUCCCAGAGCCUCAGUCUUCUCAGUUUUGAGGAGGUGGAAGGACAAAUCCCCAGCCCGUUGUGAGCAUUCACCGUGCCUUGGAGCGCUCCGCCAUUGGAUGCUCUCGCUCUGCGUGAUUGAACAGAUCAGAGUCUAAUUCGGAGAUUAUUUGUGCCAGUCUUUCUCUGUUUUGUAUGUGGGAUGCUGCCACAGCAUGGCUUGGUGAGCAGUGUGUGGGUCUGUGCCCCAUAUCAGAACCUGCAAACCCUGGGCCGCCAAAGCAGAGUGUGUGAACUUAACCACUAUGCCAUGGGUGCCGGCCUCAUCCUUCCUUCCUCUCUUCAUCUCUCACUCUCUUCUUCCCUCCCUCCCUUCUGCUUGCU
rnacentral:lncRNA from 1 species